rnacentral:rRNA from 1 species
GUUAGGAAUAUUGGACAAUGGGCGCAAGCCUGAACCAGCCAUGCCGCGUGAGUGAUGAAGGCCUUCGGGUUGUAAAGCUCUUUAGCCGAUGAUUAUAAUGACUGUAGUCGGAAAAUAAGCCCCGGCUAACUUCGUGCCAGCAGCCGCGGUAAUACGAAGGGGGCGAGCGUUAUUCGGAAUCACUGGGCGUAAAGCGUGCGUAGGCGGUUUUGUAAGUUAGGAGUGAAAGCCCAGGGCUCAACCCUGGAAUUGCUCUUAAAACUACAAGGCUAGAAGGUCGGAGAGGAUAGCGGAAUUUCCAGUGUAGCAGUGAAAUGCGUAGAUAUUGGAAGGAACACCAGUGGCGUAAGCGGCUAUCUGGACGACUAUUGACGCUGAGGCACGAAAGCGUGGGGAUCAAACAGGAUUAGAAACCCUGGUAGUCC